rnacentral:rRNA from 1 species
GAGGGGGGCAAGCGUUGUUCGGAAUUAUUGGGCGUAAAGGGCGCGUAGGCGGUUUGGCAAGUUUGGUGUGAAAUCUUCGGGCUCAACUCGAAGUCUGCACCGAAAACUGCCGGGCUUGAGUAUGGGAGAGGUGAGUGGAAUUUCCGGUGUAGCGGUGAAAUGCGUAGAUAUCGGAAGGAACACCUGUGGCGAAAGCGGCUCACUGGACCAUUACUGACGCUGAGGCGCGAAAGCUAGGGGAGCAAACAGGAUUAGAUACCCUGGUAGUCCUAGCCCUAAACGAUGAUUGCUUGAUGUGGCAGGUACCCAAUCCUGCCGUGUCGAAGCUAACGCGAUAAGCAAUCCGCCUGGGGAGUACGGUCGCAAGGCUGAA